UUGGCUCAGGCUCCUCCAUUACUUUGAGUCUCACGACCAUGAGAUCACCACUCUUCAUGCACUACCAUCUGAGACCAG